CACGUAGGAGGCAAGCGUUAUCCGAAUUUACUGGGCGUAAAGCGCGUGCAGGCGGUUCGGUAAGUUGGAUGUGAAAUCUCCCGGCUCAACUGGGAGGGGACGUUCAAUACUGUCGGACUUGAGGACGAUAGAGGGAGGUGGAAUUCCCGGUGUAGUGGUGAAAUGCGUAGAUAUCGGGAGGAACACCAGUGGCGAAAGCGGCCUCCUGGAUCGUUCCUGACGCUCAGACGCGAAAGCUAGGGGAGCGAACGGGAUUAGAAACCCCUGUAGUCC
rnacentral:rRNA from 1 species